rfam:Musa acuminata subsp. malaccensis Doubled-haploid Pahang (DH-Pahang) genomic chromosome, chr11
UAGUUACUGUGAUGUUGGCUCGGUUCACUCGGAGUUCACUACAAAGGCACUGCAAGGAAUGUCUUCAGACCUUUUUUCUGAUUGAGCCGUGCCAAUAUCUUAGUACUCUUU